CUCCUCUCCCACAUAUCGUAUGUAAGACGGUCGACGCCACCCAACAAUGCUCCAGCAUUCACCGCGCUUAUUGAUCAUUGGCGGUCGGGGACACACAGUUUUCAUCUUCGGACCGGGAAGAUGACCGUGACGCUCCAGGAUAUUGCUAUGAUCACAGUGCAGCUCCUAUCUAAGUCACAGUGCAACGCCUGA
rnacentral:rRNA from 1 species